CCAAAUUUGGGGAGGGGACAAUGUCCUGUCUCCCCCCAGCCCAAAACACCCCCAAAAUAUUUUGGGGAGGGGGUGAGACCCCCGGAGGAAGGGGGACCCGAGGGAUUUUGGGGUGGGGGGGGGGGGUCCCGGUGAAUUUGGGGGGGUCUGGGGGAUUUUGGGGACGUUCCUGGGGUGUCCCCAAGGAUUUUGGGGGGGUCAGGGUGGGGUCAGGGACAUUCCCAGGGGGUCACUGGGAUUUUGGGGACAUUCCCGGGGUGUCCCCAAGGAUUUUGGGGGGGGUCAGGGUGGGUCAGGGACAUUCCCAGGGGGUCACUGGGAUUUUGGGGACAUUCCCGGGGUGUCCCCAAGGAUUUUGGGGGGGUCGGGGGGGGGGGUCAGGGACAUUCCCAGGGGGUCACUGGGAUUUUGGGGACAUUCCCGGGGUGUCCCCAAGGAUUUUGGGGGGGUCGGGGGGGGGGUCAGGGACAUUCCCAGGGGGGUCACUGGGAUUUUGGGGACAUUCCCAUGGGGGUCUGGGGGAUUUUGGGGACAUUCCCGGGGUGUCCCCAAGGAUUUUUGGGGGGUCCAGGGGGGUCAGGGACAUUCCCAAGGGGGUCACUGGGAUUUUGGGGACAUUCCCAGGGGGGGUCACUGGGAUUUUGGGGACAUUCCUGGGGUGUCCCCAAGGAUUUGGGGGGGGGGGGGUCAGGUACAUUCCCAGGGGGUCACUGGGAUUUUGGGGACAUUGCCGGGGUGUCCCCAAGGAUUUUGGGGGGGGUCAGGGUGGGUCAGGGACAUUCCCAGGGGGUCACUGGGAUUUUGGGGACAUUCCUGGGGUGUCCCCAAGGAUUUUGGGGGGGUCGGGGGGGGGGUCAGGGACAUUCCCAAGGGGGUCACUGGGAUUUUGGGGACAUUCCCGGGGUGUCCCCAAGGAUUUUUGGGGGGUCCAGGGGGGUCAGGGACAUUCCCAGGGGGGUCACUGGGAUUUUGGGGACAUUCCUGGGGUGUCCCCAAGGAUUUGGGGGGGGGGGUCAGGUACAUUCCCAGGGGGGUCACUGGGAUUUUGGGGACAUUGCCGGGGUGUCCCCAAGGAUUUUGUGGGGGGGUCCAGGGGGGUCAGGGACAUUCCCAGGGGGUCACUGGGAUUUUGGGGACAUUCCCGGGGUGUCCCCAAGGAUUUUGGGGGGGGGGUCCUUGCCUUGCGGCGGGG
rnacentral:lncRNA from 1 species